rnacentral:rRNA from 1 species
AUGCUGUCAGGAAAUUCAAAUCAGAUGUCUCUAAGCGAAACCCAACCAUUCACAUUGUCGGAUGCCAUUUGUUCCUACAGCCUAGACCUUGGUCAAAUGAACAAGCCACACAGAAUGCAUCCAAGGAUAGCACUUUUCGAGUAUGAGUCCAUGAAGAAGAUGAUUGAGAUCAUAGCGGUCAACAUGGGAGGAGGUGAAAUAUCAUACCACGGCGCCUCGGCUAGGUCUGAACAAAACAUCAGCAAGGGCCUCGUCUGCGCAUCCACUGAUCCUGCAGACGAAAACAUUCCAAGGACAUCUACCAUGACCAAACGAGUCCAGAUGCCCUCCGCGCCUAUUUUAAGAGCUACCUACGCCAAAAUUGGACCCCAAGAUUUCUCAAACCAUCUACGGACAAACCACCCAUCAAUAUCCAGCGAGAAGCUUGGGAUACUCCUCCGAGAGCACAAUGCGCGUGGGUUGGCCAACAUUUCGGAGAUGAGGCAGGCUUUUCUGAAUGUGUGUUAUAUCGACUAG